AGAGUUUGAGUCCUGGCUCAGAGUGAACGCUGGCGGUAGGCCUAACACAUGCAAGUCGAACGGCAGCACAGUAAGAGCUUGCUCUUAUGGGUGGCGAGUGGCGGACGGGUGAGGAAUACAUCGGAAUCUACUUUUUCGUGGGGGAUAACGUAGGGAAACUUACGCUAAUACCGCAUACGACCUACGGGUGAAAGCAGGGGGAUCUUCGGACCUUGCGCGAUUGAAUGAGCCGAUGUCGGAUUAGCUAGUUGGCGGGGUAAAGGCCCACCAAGGCGACGAUCCGUAGCUGGUCUGAGAGGAUGAUCAGCCACACUGGAACUGAGACACGGUCCAGACUCCUACGGGAGGCAGCAGUGGGGAAUAUUGGACAAUGGGCGCAAGCCUGAUCCAGCCAUACCGCGUGGGUGAAGAAGGCCUUCGGGUUGUAAAGCCCUUUUGUUGGGAAAGAGAUCCAGCUGGUUAAUACCCGGUUGGGAUGACGGUACCCAAAGAAUAAGCACCGGCUAACUUCGUG
rnacentral:rRNA from 1 species